UAUUGCCUUUCCUUAGCUGAAAAUGUUUUAAGAAUGUGUUAACAGCAUGUAAAUUAAAAAGGGAUUGAAGGCUGGAGCUUUAACACCAAUGCCACAGGAGGACAAGUCCGUGCAAGAUCAAGCAGUUGUGGAAGUAAAAUCAAAGGGAUGUCAGACCGAUUAAGAAUAAACCGCAUCAGAAGUGCAGCUGGUGGCAAAUUUAACAAGGAAAACAUCCGCCAGAGAGCAGAGAACAAGGAUAUCCUGAACUAAUUUAUACUCUUCAUGUGGAACACUGGUGGCUGGUAUUGAGAGUAAAGCAAGGAAGAUGUGAAAAUUUGAGGGCUGCUGGUAUCUUUGAUAUAUUUCUAGCAAUGCCUUUCAUGAGAAUUUUAGUUCUUUGUGAAUUCAAAAACAGAGGUGAUAAACCAGGUAAG
rnacentral:lncRNA from 12 species